CAAUUAGAAUUAUUACGACCCUGGCAGUAGUAACAAUGUUAUUGAACCCAAUGGGCUUGGCUAAAGCUCUGUAGAAGGAACAUGUGGGUGGCUUGGUGGUUUAUUCUUGACGGCUGUUGUCUCUCCACUCUGAAGUCCCAGCUCGAACGCUGCUUGUGUGGAGUUAGUUUGUCAUCCCCCUGUCUCCUGCCCCCAUGUCCCCAAAUAUUAGGCCUGCUCUAGUUGCUGUCUGUGUGGAAGUUGCAUAUUCUCCUUGUGUCUUGUGUGUUUUCCUCCAGAGCCCCAGACUGUGAGAUUAACUUACCAAACAGCCUGGUUGCUUUCUCUGUGGAAUUUUACAUAUUCUGUGGGUGGGCUUUCUUCCCAGUAACUUCGGUUUGAAUCCCAGCCCUGUUGCUCCCAGUCUGCAUGUUCUGUCUCUUCUGCAUGCUCUUUGUCCCACCAAUCCUUCCGAGUCCUCCGUGCAAUCUGUGCGGAGUUGGCACAUCCUUCCCACGUCUCUGUGGCUUCUCCUUCUGUGUCCUAGAAAUCCCUGCUUCAAAUCCUGGUACAUUUGCUGGCCAUCAAGAAUUUGCACAUACUCCAUGUCUCUACUGCACCAGGGUCUUCAGUUCAAAUCCCUAACUGAUUUGCCAGAGUUAGUCCAUUCUCCUCUCGUCUGUGUCGGUUUUCCUCCCAUGUUUCAUAGACUUUGGUUUGAAUCCCAUCCGAGUUGCUAUCUCUCUCUUUCUGCAUGGGUUUUACCGCCAAUGUCCCAGAGUUCCAAGUUUCAAAUCCCAGCCCAGGUGCUAUUAGUGUGCAUUUUCUGCCACGUCUGUGUGAGUUUUCCUCCCAUGUCCCAGAGACUUUGCUGUGGAAUUCCAGCCUAGUUGUUGUCUGUGUGGUGUUUUUGCUUCUUCUUCUGCAUGGGGUUUCCUCCAAGGGGUUUCUUCCAAUCCUUCUGAAUCCUAGGUGCAAAAUGUGGCCCAGAGUUUACAUGGAGUUUACACAUACUUCCUAGAGACUUGGGUGUGAAUCCCAGCCCAGUCACUCCCAGUCUGCGUGUUCUGUCUCUUCAGCUUGCUUUUUGACCCACCAAUGCUUUUGAGUCCUCUGUGCUAUCUGUGUGGAGUUUGCACAUCCUUCUCUGGUCUCUGGGGCUUCUCCUUCUACAUCCCAGGGUCUCUGCUUCAAAUCCUGGUACAUUCACUUGCCAUGAAGAAUUUGCACAUACUCCAUGUCUCUGGAUUGGUUUUCCUCUACUGUUCCAGGGUCUUCGGUUCAAAUCCCUAACUGAUUUGCCAGAGUUAAUCCGUUCUCCAUUCGUCUGUGUGGGUUUUCCUCCCAUGUUUCAGAGACUUUGAUUUCUAUCUCUGUGUGGGGUUUUUGUAUUUUUUGUAUGUUCUCUUUGUCUCUUUCUGCAUGGGUUUUACUUCCCAGUGCCCCAGAGUUCCAGGUUUCAAAUUCCAGCCCAUCCCAGUUGCUGUUAGUGUGCAUUUUCUGCCACGUCUGUGUGGGUUUUCCUCCCGUGUCCCAGAGGCUCAGCUGUUGUCUGUGUGGUGUUUGCAUCUUCUUCUGCAUGAGGUUUGCUCCCAUCCUUCUGAACCCUAGAUGCAAAAUGUGGCUCAGCUGCUAUCAGUGUGGAGUUUGUGCCUUCUUCCCAGGUCUCUCUGGUGGGUUCUCCUUGUAGGUCCCAGAGUCCCUGCUUCAAAUCCUGGCCCAUUUGCUUUCCAUGAAGAAUUGGCAUGUUCUCCAGGUGUCUGCAUGGAGAUGUGGAGUGUGUAGAUUUAUGCAAGUCCAUAUUUGUUUCCUUUUCUGCAGGUACUUCAGUUUUCCUUCUCCAAGACGGGGGUCCCCAACUCUACAAUGGUUGCAGGUUUUCAUUCUAAC